rnacentral:tRNA from 1 species
GCCGGAAUAGCUCAGUUGGCAGAGCAGAGGACUGAAAAUCCUCGUGUCACCAGU